rnacentral:rRNA from 1 species
CACGUAGGGAGCAAGCGUUGUCCGGAUUUAUUGGGCGUAAAGAGCUCGUAGGUGGUUCGAUAAGUCAGGUGUGAAAACUCUGGCUUAACCCAGAGACGCCACUUGAUACUUCUAUGGCUUGAGUUCGGUAGGGGACCAUGGAAUUCCUGGUGUAGCGGUGAAAUGCGCAGAUAUCAGGAGGAACACCGAUGGCGAAGGCAGUGGUCUGGGCCGAUACUGACGCUGAGGAGCGAAAGCGUGGGGAGCGAACAGG